UACAGAGGGUGCAAGCGUUAAUCGGAAUUACUGGGCGUAAAGCGUGCGUAGACGGUUAUGUAAGUCAGGUGUGAAAGCCCCGGGCUCAACCUGGGAAUGGCAUUUGAGACUGCAUAGCUAGGGUGCGGAAGAGGGAAGCGGAAUUUCCGGUGUAGCGGUGAAAUGCGUAGAUAUCGGAAGGAACAUCAGUGGCGAAAGCGGCUUCUUGGUCCAGCACCGACGUUCAGGCACGAAAGCGUGGGGAGCAAACAGG
rnacentral:rRNA from 1 species